AGGAGGACGCUGGAGUGAGGUGCUCUGGUGAGUGUGGGGGGCUAGGGAUCCAGUUUGGGUGAGUUGGGGCAAUGAUGGGUCCAUGGGCAUGGCAGGGGUUUGAUGGGGAGAUUGUUCAGAAAGCAUCUUGGUGCUGUAGCUCUGGACCUGGGAGAGGGGGAGCUGGGAGGACUCAGCAGGUUUUGGUAACUGAGGGGUGACUUCAGGACUCAGGGAGGGAAAACGGGCUACCCUGCGUCCUGUGCUCCAAACUACUACUUUUCUUUUUCUCUAGGUUAAAGAAUUAUAUUUCUCCCCACUAGAGUAGGCACAUAGUAACACCCAUGGAUAGAGGAGGAUAUUCAGAUUCUUGGGACCUAUUCUGUAGACUCUCUGGCAAAAUUAGUCAACUCGUAAGAGAAAAGAUACUGAGGAGCCACUGGCUGGUGGGGAGGGAGCAGACAUUUUCCUUGGGGAAUUUCCAUGGGGGAAAUUUCCAUGGGGCCAGAAAUUUCUCAUGCACCUGGUCAAGGAGGGCUGGUUGCUGAGCUGUGGGUUCUAAGGCUUUCCUACCUGCCCAUGAGUGUUCCUCCUCAACAGCAAGGUGCCAGUCCGAGGACUUGUUUGAUGCUCUGGACUCGUGAAGCCCAAGGGGAAGGGAUGAAAUCAUGAGCCUGGUACUCAGAGGCUGUCUCAGCAGGGAAGCGCCAGGAUAAUCACAGCCAAUUAUUUCAGGAUAGGACACUGAUGGAGCCCAGUCACAGUGGGUUUAGUUGUGUCAGAGGCUGGGACUUCAUUGUCCAGAGCUCUGUGGAAAUGCUAGCAGGGAGUUUCCCUGUGCCCAUGACCUUGUCCAAACCCUCUUGCCUUGUUCUUCUUAGGGACCAGACCAGACUUAAAUCCUGGCAUCUUCUCCCUGCCUGAGAUCCUCUGCUUCAUCCUGGGGGCCCUUCUCCUCCUGGUCCUCAUCAUCCUGGUGGCUCAGCUGCUCAGAUGGAGGGCAAAGCACAGAGGUGCUGUCGAUGAGGCCGUGUAUGAGGAGAUUGAUAACCUUGGAAUACCAAAGGAAGAUCUGCUGGGAAGCACAGGUGUGUGUCUCUGCCUUGCCCUCCUGGGACCUCUGGUGGUCAGCCUAGUCUUCUCAUCAACCGCAGACCCCACAUCUGCCCCAGGCUCACGGAGGCGGCCCUGUGCCUCAAAGGCAGCAAGAUGGGGCUCUCCAGAGCACCUGUGUGUUCUUAGCUCCCUUCACAUUCCAGGAACCAAACCUGUCCCAGCAUUUCCUCUCAGCCUUGAGGCUCCUAUGGGAGUGGGAAGGUCUGUUCUGUUCCUUUAUGAUGAUUUUGUCCACCUUAGGGUUCCUGUCA
rnacentral:lncRNA from 1 species